UGCCAGCCGCCGCGGAAAUACGCAGGGAGCGAGCGUUAAUCGGAAUUACUGGGCGUAAAGCGCGCGUAGGCGGCUUUGUAAGUCGGAUGUGAAAGCCCUGGGCUCAACCUGGGAAUUGCAUUCGAUACUGCAUGGCUAGAGUAUGGUAGAGGGAAGUGGAAUUUCCGGUGUAGCGGUGAAAUGCGUAGAUAUCGGAAGGAACACCAGUGGCGAAGGCGACUUCCUGGGCCAAUACUGACGCUGAGGCACGAAAGCGUUGGGUAGCAAACGGGAUUAGAUA
rnacentral:rRNA from 1 species